UGAACAAGCGGGGCGGGUUGGAUCGAUAUUCGGCCUCCGUACUCUGAGAUGGUUUAAACUUAUAGUUAUACACUGUACACUCGUAGAGCCCCUCUGUCCUUAAACCCAUAGUAUAGCUGAUACCCCGAAACCUUCACCUUAAAGUGUUAAAAAAGUGACUAAAAAGUUUUGAA